UGCGUAGGCGGGAUAUUAAGUCAGUGGUGAAAGCCCCGAGCUCAACUUGGGAACUGCCAUUGAAACUGAUGUUCUUGAAUAUAGUUGAGGUAGGCGGAAUACAGCAUGUAGCGGUGAAAUGCAUAGAUAUGCUGUAGAACACCAAUUGCGAAGGCAGCUUACUAAACUAUUAUUGACGCUGAGGCACGAAAGCGUGGGGAGCGAACAGGAUUAGAUACCCUGGUAGUCC
rnacentral:rRNA from 1 species